rnacentral:tRNA from 1 species
UGAAGGCUAGUGUAACUUACCUGCACAUAUAAAUUUGAAUUAUACAGUGGAAAUAAUACCCCACCUUCAU